CAAUACAAUUAAAAAACAAAAAGAAACAAUACAACAUCAAUCAUCUCCGUCACGAUCCGCCUCGUCAUCCGGCGCAGCUUCAAAGGGAACGAGACCCGCAUAGGGAUAAUGGACAUGGUCAAAAUAACCAUGGAUCUCGUGUGUCAACUGAGAAAGCUGGUCGGAUAUAGUUUGGAGAGUGGGCUCCUGAGAUGGACGAGCACGACGGGCUGGACGGGUAGGAGGAGGAGCUGGAGCAUGAUCACCAUCAUGAUGAAAGGAUGAUUCCGAGAUUUCCCAAAUUUUGGUACUCCUUUUGAGAGGACCAUUUUCAGUGACAAAUCCGGAUGCUUCAAGAAAAUUCAUGAUGAGGAGAGCAUGAGGAAGAGGCCUAUCAUCUCCGAUAGCGUCACGCAUGUGAAUCUUGACGAACCGACACCAAUUGAUG
rnacentral:lncRNA from 1 species